rnacentral:rRNA from 1 species
UACGUAGGUCCCGAGCGUUGUCCGGAUUUAUUGGGCGUAAAGCGAGCGCAGGUGGUUUAAUAAGUCUGAUGUAAAAGGCAGUGGCUCAACCAUUGUGUGCAUUGGAAACUGUUAGACUUGAGUGCAGUAGAGGAGAGUGGAAUUCCAUGUGUAGCGGUGAAAUGCGUAGAUAUCGGGAGGAACACCAGUAGCGAAGGCGCCCCUCUGGACGGUAACUGACGCUGAGGCGCGAAAGCGUGGGGAGCAAACAGG